CCAGAUCGUUUACCGUGAAAAAAUUAGAGUGUUCAAAGCAGGCAGAUCCAAUUUUCUGCCACCGAAUACAUUAGCAUGGGAUAAUGGAAUAGGACCCUGUCCUCCUAUUUUCAGUUGGUUUUGGCAGCGCGAGGACUAGGGUAAUGAUUAAUAGGGAUAGUUGGGGGCAUUAAUAUUUAAUUGUCAGAGGUGAAAUUCUUGGAUUUAAGAAAGAUUAACUUCUGCGAAAGCGUUUGCCAAGGAUGUUUUCAUUAAUCAAGAACGAAAGUUAGGGGAUCGAAGACGAUCAGAUACCGUCGUAGUCUUAACCAUAAACGAUGCCGACCAGCGAUUAAAAGACGUUGAAUACAAAACACCACCAUCGGUGCCGUCGUCCCAGGC
rnacentral:rRNA from 1 species